GGGGAAUAUUGGACAAUGGGCGCAAGCCUGAUCCAGCCAUGCCGCGUGAGUGAUGAAGGCCUUCGGGUUGUAAAGCUCUUUCGGACGGAAAGAAAACGGAUGGGUUAAUACCCUGUUCGGAUGACGGUACCGUCAUAAGAAGCACCGGCUAACUACGUGCCAGCAGCCGCGGUAAUACGUAGGGUGCGAGCGUUAAUCGGAAUUACUGGGCGUAAAGCGUGCGCAGGCGGUUGAUUAAGACAGGCGUGAAAUCCCCGGGCUUAACCUGGGAACUGCGCUUGUGACUGGUCGGCUAGAGUACGGCAGAGGGGGGUGGAAUUCCACGUGUAGCAGUGAAAUGCGUAGAGAUGUGGAGGAACACCGAUGGCGAAGGCGACUGCCUGGGCCAACACUGACACUGAGGCACGAAAGCGUGGGGAGCAAACA
rnacentral:rRNA from 1 species